rnacentral:rRNA from 1 species
UCCGUAGGUGAACCUGCGGCCGCCCCCCUCCCCGGGGGGGUGGCCAGCGCCCGCCAGAGGACCAUCAAACUCCAGUCAGUAAACGAUGCAGUCUGAAAAACAUUUAAUAAACUAAAACUUUCAACAACGGAUCUCUUGGUUCUGGCAUCGAUGAAGAACGCAGCGAAAUGCGAUAAGUAAUGUGAAUUGCAGAAUUCAGUGAAUCAUCGAAUCUUUGAACGCACAUUGCGCCCUUUGGUAUUCCGAAGGGCAUGCCUGUUCGAGCGUCAUUACAACCCUCAAGCUCUGCUUGGUAUUGGGCACCGUCCUUUGCGGGCGCGCCUCAAAGACCUCGGCGGUGGCGUCUUGCCUCAAGCGUAGUAGAACAUACAUCUCGCUUCGGAGCGCAGGGCGUCGCCCGCCGGACGAACCUUCUGAACUUUUCUCAAGGUUGACCUCGGAUCAGGGUAGGGAUACCCGCUGAACUUAAGCAUAUCAAUAAGCGGAGGA